GGAGAGGGAAGGGGCCUCCCUGCCCACUUCCUCACCAUCCGCCUCGAAAAGUUGUUCUUCAAGAUGGCUACUGGGAAUAAAGCAAAGACAGGGACACCUCUGCGGCGGGUCGCGGCAGAUUCUGGCUGGGGUGGGUGGCUCCGCUUCCCACCGGUGGCACCUUGAGCGGAGCGUCUGCUUCGAGAAUCAGGCAUCACGCUCUGCAGGUGAAAGUCGAGCAAUAGGCAAAGCUAUGACGCUUAACAAGAAAAGCAAUGACGGAACUACGUUCCGUGUGCUGUGCAGAUCAGCAUUCUUAAUUCCAAGGUGCUGGUGCGAGGACCUUUGAAAGACACUGGAUAUGACAGUACUCCCCUCAGUCAUCUACCCUCCAUCUCACAAAGAAGAGAGAGGCUUGUGAAUUUGUUAUACUUUGUGUUGGAGCAUGGGCAAAUUCUGGAGGAUCAGGCGAGCUUGUUUUCAUCUUUUAUGAGCAGCAUCUCCCUCCCUCUGUGCUGCAGCCUGUGGUGACACUGACCUCUGGUGAUCACGAACUUUAAUUACUAAAAAGUGCUGAAUAAGGCUGUGGCCCAUGCAGAAGUGACACCGUGCAGCCUCUUGAAGCGUGCUUCCAUCUCCAUGAUUUCUCCUUGCAUUCACCAAACAUGACAUUAACUCCACUGAAGUGAACAGAAACCAGAUCUCCACCCAGGCUAUUUUUUGUCCAUCUAGCCAAGAAAAGCAAAUAAAUCCAGGGCUAAGGCUCCAA